ACGUAGGUGGCAAGCGUUGUCCGGAAUUAUUGGGCGUAAAGGGCUCGCAGGCGGUUUCUUAAGUCUGAUGUGAAAGCCCCCGGCUCAACCGGGGAGGGUCAUUGGAAACUGGGGAACUUGAGUGCAGAAGAGGAGAGUGGAAUUCCACGUGUUGCGAUGAAAUGCGUAGGGAUGUGGAGGAACACGAGUGGCGAUGGCGAAUCUCUGGUCUGUAACUGACUCUGAGGAGGGAAAGCGUGGGGAGCAAACAG
rnacentral:rRNA from 1 species